CAGCACCCACCCACAAAAGCUGGGCCUUAAAUCCCAAAGGAGAGGAGAAGCAGCGGCACGUUCUGACACCACGCUUUGGUGACGAUGCUGCAGCACAGCUCAAUUCCAGGCAUGUAUAGGCCAUGUUUGUGGCAGUCGUUCAGCAGCCGCUGGUGGCUGGCGUGGUGCUGCUGGGCUCUCCCUUGUCCAUCCACGCACCCAGCCGUCGGCCUCCUUGCAGUCCUUCGCUCUCAGCUCCACGAGGCCCUGCUCCCCUCAACUCCAUGGCAUUUUUCCACAAGAGAGAGGAGGGCAGCGCUCAUUGCAUGCACAUUUCCA
rnacentral:lncRNA from 1 species